GUGGCGCCAUGGGUCCAUACCCAUUCGCUCCAUUCCGUCUUCCCGUGGCAUUCGAGUCUGAGUGGACACCGGCUGGGGUGAAGUAAGAAGACCCGGUGACUCCAGUGUCUGUCCACAGCUGGUGGCACACCAAGUCUGGAUAAGUUACAGACUAGGAGCCAGAAUCCUGUGAUGUACAGAGAUGACCAGCACAUCAAAUCCUAGACCAGAGACCAAGCCAUAGGAACCAACAGGCCAGAGAAUACUGGAUGGGAGUUGGCUUAAAGGCAGUGGCCAAAUAACAAAUCUGAAUGUACCUGUAGCAAGCAAUGAUAUUGAACCAUUCAUUUAAAGACCUUCCCAAAGAGGGAAGUCCUGGGCCUCCUGGUUUCAUCAGUGAAUUCUAUCAAAGGUUUAAAGAAGAAAUAGCACCCAUCCUUCACAGAUUCUUCCUGAAUAGACAGGAGGGAGGAGGAAACAUUUCCUAAUUCAUCGUAUAAGCACAGUAUUACCCAAUUACCAAAGCCAGACUUGACAUCACCAGAAAGCUACAGAUCCAUAUCUAUCAUGAAUAGUCAUGCAUACACCCUCAACACAGUAUCAGCAAACCAAAUCGAGAAACAUUUUGCCAAGGGCUCUGCGAGAUCUUUCUUUGGGAUUGGAAUGAAAACUGACCUUUUCCAGUCCUGUGGCCACUGUUGAGUUUGCCAAAUUUUGUGUCAUAUUGAGUGCAGCACUUUCACAGCAUCAUCUUUCAGGAUUUGGAAUAGCUCAACUGGAAUUCUAUCGCCUCCACUAGCUUUGUUCGUAGUGAUGCUUUCUAAGGCCCACUUGACUUCACAUUCCAGGAUGUCUGGCUCUAGGUCAAUGAUGACACCAUAGUGAUUAUCUGGGUCAUGAAGAUCUUUUUUGUACAAUUCUUCUGUGUAUUCUUGCCAUCUCUUCUUAAUAUCUUCUGCUUUUCUUAGGUCCAUACCAUUUGUGUCCUUUAUCGAGCCCAUCUUUGCAUGAAAUGUUCCUUUGGUAUCUCUGAUUUUCUUGAAGAGAUCCCUAGUUUUUCCCAUUCUGUUGUUUUCCUCAAUUUCUUUGCAUUGAUCACUGAAGAAUGCUGUCUUCUCUCUUCUUGCUAUUCUUUGGAACUCUGCAUUCAGAUGUUUAUAUCUUUCCUUUUCCCCUUUGCUUUUCACUUCUCUUCUUUUCACAGCUAUUUGUAAGGCCUCCCCAGACAGCCAUUUUGCUUUUUUGCAUUUCUUUUCCAUGGGGAUGGUCUUGAUCCCUGUCCCCUGUACAAAGUCAUGAACCUCAUUCCAUAUUUCAUCAGGCACUCUAUCUAUCAGAUCUAGGCCCUUAAAUCUAUUUCUCACUUCCACUGUAUAAUCAUAAGGGAUUUGAUUUAGGUCAUACCUGAAUGUUCUAGUGGUUUUCCCUACUUUGUCCAUUCUGAAGGAGAUCAGCCCUGGGAUUUCUUUGGAAGGAAUGAUGCUAAAGCUGAAAUUCCAGUACUUUGGCCACCUCAUGCGAAGAGUUGACUCAUUGGAAUAGACUCUGAUGCUGGGAGGGAUUGGGGGCAAGAGGAGAGGGGGACGACAGAGGAUGAGAUGGCUGGAUGGCAUCACUGACUCGAUGGACAUGAGUCUGGGUGAACUCCAGGAGUUGGUGGUGGACAGGGAGGCCUGGCGUGCUGCGAUUCAUGGGGUUGCAAAGAGUCGGACACGACUGAGCGAAUGAUCUGAUCUGUGUGAGAUCUUUCCCAGGAUUGCAGUAUUGGACCAACACUCAACUUCAGUUAUGGGAAACAGCGUAUUGAUAUAAUGAAGGACGGAAACCACCUGCCAUCUUGACAGACAAAUAAAAAGCAUUUGACACAGUUCAAGACCCAUUCAUGACAAAUAAGUAAAUAACUAAAUCAAUAAACACGGUCAACCAUCUCAGGAUAGAAGGGAUCGUCAUUGCCGUGCUGAAGAACAUCCCUGAGAAACAUCCAGCUCUCGUCACAUCACAUCUAGUAGAGUCUGAGUGAAUGCUUGCCUCUUGAGAUCCAGACCAAGAUAGGAGGUCUGCUUCAACCACCUCUAUUCCACACUGACUGAAGGGUCUAGCCUGUGCACCAUGCAAAAGAAGAAAUGAAAUCUUGGAGAAAUGAGAAAUGAAACCCAUAUCCACACAAAUACUUGUCCUUCGAUGUCUUUCACAGCAGCACUGUCUGUAAUCUCCAAGUAGUGGAGCAGCCUAAAAGUCUGUCAGCUGGAGAGUGGUAAACAGAGUAUUUAUUCUGUAGCCAUGCAGUGAAACAGCACAGAUGGAUGAAAAGUGGUGAACUUCUGCUUUCUGCUGCCACAUGGGUCAGCCUCUGAAGAACUGUGCUAAGUGAAAGAACCCAGACACAAAAGGCCACUUCCUGCAGGAGUCCGUUGAUGUGAAUGCCCACAAAGGGCAAAUCAACAGAGACAGAAAUUAGAUGAGAGGAUGCCGGGACCUGCAGAUACUGUUGCGGAUCGACUGCUGAUGGGUACACGGAACCUUUUAGUGGUGCUGGCAGUGUUCCACAACUGCACUGUGGUGGUGGCUGCACCACUGUGUGAAGUUACUAAAAGUUACUGCCCUGGAAGUGAUGGGUGUGAUUUGUGGUGUGUAACUGUACCUCAGUAAAGCAGUUUAGGAAGGUACUGCAGAUGUCCAAGUGAGACAUGUGGGAAAAGAUAUGCCAUUGCUUUUGUAACAACAAGGAGUGCCCCUGCUCCUUCCACGUUCUGGGUCCGGCCUCCUCCACAUGUGCUAGAUGCUCCCUCCAGAGACAGUCGCUGUGCACGUUAGGACAAAAUCCCCAGUGAGCACACACAUCUAGUUUGUCUCUAGAGUUCCAAAGAAGGUCCCGAACAAAACUCCCAGCCGACCAGGGCCAAGAGACUGGCACGGGCCUCACUGGGUGGCUGCGCGCAGGCCCAGAGCCAGCCAAUCGGAGUGCAGCCCCGCCCACCAAGCUCCGGAUCUUCCUGGACUCGCUGACUUCCUGCCCGUGUUGCUAUGGUUCCGCGGACUGCUCGCUGUCCAGGGGUGGUUUGGCCGGACCCCGUCGAGAGAUUCCCUUCCUUUCUCUGGUCCUUACGGGCUUUCUACUUAACUUUCGUAUCCACGCUGUCCAGUCCUCUGCGCGGAAACCCAGCAGAAACGAUGAAUUUUCUUCCGGGCUUGCGGCGUUUGGGUUUCUGUAGCCUGCAGGUGGCAGUGUUGCUCCACAGUGUCGCCGGGCCGGUUUUUCCUCCGCUAUGGCGCUUUAAUAAAAUAACAGGGAGCCUUUUGCCUCAAG
ensembl:lncRNA